rnacentral:rRNA from 1 species
UACAGAGGUCUCGAGCGUUGUUCGGAUUCAUUGGGCGUAAAGGGUGCGUAGGUGGCGCCGUAAGUCGGGUGUGAAAUUUCGGAGCUUAACUCCGAAACUGCAUUCGAUACUGCGGUGCUUGAGGACUGGAGAGGAGACUGGAAUUCAUGGUGUAGCAGUGAAAUGCGUAGAGAUCAUGAGGAAGACCAGUGGCGAAGGCGGGUCUCUGGACAGUUCCUGACACUGAGGCACGAAGGCCAGGGAGCAAACGGG